rnacentral:rRNA from 1 species
UACAGAGGGGGCAAGCGUUGUUCGGAAUUACUGGGCGUAAAGGGCGCGUAGGCGGCCUGCUAAGUCGAACGUGAAAUCCCCGGGCUCAACCCGGGAACUGCGUCCGAUACUGACAGGCUUGAAUCCGGGAGAGGGAUGCGGAAUUCCAGGUGUAGCGGUGAAAUGCGUAGAUAUCUGGAGGAACACCGGUGGCGAAGGCGGCAUCCUGGACCGGCAUUGACGCUAAAGCGCGAAAGCCAGGGGAGCAAACAGG